GCCAGCAUGGCAUAGUGGUUUGAGUGUUGGAUGAAGACUCUGGAGACCUGGGUUCAAGUCCCCACUCUGCCA